rnacentral:lncRNA from 1 species
CCUCGUGCAUUGGUUCUUGUUUUCAUCAUUUACCAUCAUCUGGGAAUUCAUUACAAGCCUCAAGCCAUCACUGUAGCAUCCUUUUCCACGACUGUUUCAACAACCUACAUCAAUGGCAGAUUUCGAUUUAAGCUGGAAUUGAGGUUGCUGAGCCAAAACCCUUUCUCCAUUCACCUCCUGGAGCAUUGUAGUUCAUCUGUUUUUACACAUCACAGCUAAACAACAUCCAAAUCAUCACUGUGCUUCAACUUUGGUAAGGUUUCGAGUCUCUCUAUUUCCUAAAUCAUGCCAUGCUUUAGUUAGAUUAUGCUUUUCUGGUCACAAUGAACUUUAAAUCACUAAAAAUGGUUGAGUGAUGAGUGAGUAAUCUGGCUUUAAAGUUUCAUGUUCAAAUGAGUUUCUUGUUUGAUGCUUGCUGGAUAGUUGGAUUCGAUGAAAAUGAAUGUUAGUGUUGUGGUGUGUGUUGCUUGCCUGUUCGAUUGCUAUGUUGGUUACUCAUUUCUGGAAAAUAAUUUUUGGCACGAGUUGGUUGAUGAAGAUGAUGAAGCACUGUUCCAAGAACCCUAAAAUCCAUUUUUCCAGAUUUUUGUUUUACGUGUGUUGCAUGAUUUUGUCACUAUUCCAUCGCCCAUGUCCAAUCCUUGCGUGCCACGCCCAUGACCGAUACGCACCGUUUCAUUAAAAAGUCCCAGAUAUUACCAAAUUGCCACGGCCUUGUUUUAUUUAUUUAUUUAAUUCAUUUCUUUUCAAUUUUUAUUUCAUUUGGCAUGGCUUUCUUCCAAAAAUCAUAUCUCAUCCAUUGUUAAUCCAAAAUUCAUGAGAAUUUUUGCAUUGUGUUCAUCUGGAUCUCUAGUAUUUAAUCAUGAUUUUUUCCUGAUUUUUUUGAUGAGUGGAUUUUAAUUGGUAUUAGGGUUUUGUUCAUGUGCUCAUAUUUUGUACCCUUUGCCAAAACAUUUGUGAAAUGAUGAUACAUUAUCCAAUGGCCUUGAAAUUUUUUGUGCAUAAACUAGACACAUUCAUGGUGAUUUUGGUAUAGAGUUUGUGAAUUUAUCUUAUCUGGUUUGUGAGUUAUGAUUUUUUGAAGUAGGGUGUGACAAUUUAUGUCACACCAUUGAUGUGCAACUUGAUGAUUUUCAAUACCAUGCCUCUUGACCUCAAAAUGCUUUGUUUUUUUGCAUGAAUUAACUUGAGUAUGUCUAGUUUACAUGUGAUUUUUCUUGGAAUUAUUUGUGGCAUUUUCCAUUUGUUUGAUAUUUUUCUCCCCUGUUUGGUCAUAUGUUGACUUUUUGUGACACACCAUGCCAUUUCAUUUGUGAAAUUCUCAUACUUUAUUGGAUAAACUUGAAAUUUGACAUGUGAUUAGUAGACAUCUUAAGCUUUGCCAUGGUGUUGAUCCCGUUCAUUUCUCAUAUGUUGUCACUGAUUUAUGAAUUUUUGAAGUUGAUGCAUGUUUGGUUUACUUCUUUGAGCAUGCUUGAAAUUGUUUUGACUUUCUGAUUUUCAUUGACUAUCUUCCCAUGAUCCAAUUGAGCUGAAAUUUUAUAUGCAUGUCAUGUUAUGGAUUAUGAUUGAUCAUGAAUUAUUUGAUGAUUUUUGGAAUUGUUUAUGAUUGGUUUUGAGUUAAGUCUUGCUGUUGACUUCUAUGAGCUUUCAUUUGCCAUGCUUGGACUUCUUUUGCUUAUGAAAUGAUGAUGAUGCAUGAUAUGAACAUGAAACCAAUUGAGUUUGCUUCUCAAAUGUUUGAAUUUGAUUUUGAUUGGAUAUCACUUGCUGUUUUGACUUUCUCAUCCUCUUUUGACCCUAGGCUUGCCCUAGUGGUCUUAUUGCUUAUGUUUGAGUUCAUGUUUUCAGGUUGAGAAGCAAUUGCCUCAAAGAAACUUAUACAAGUUGAAUGAGUUUAUUUGAUUAUCAU